CGUAGGUAACCUGCCCAUGUGCCCGGGAUAACUGCUGGAAACGGUAGCUAAAACCGGAUAGGUAUACAGAGCGCAUGCUCAGUAUAUUAAAGCGCCCAUCAAGGCGUGAACAUGGAUGGACCUGCGGCGCAUUAGCUAGUUGGUGAGGUAACGGCCCACCAAGGCGAUGAUGCGUAGCCGGCCUGAGAGGGUAAACGGCCACAUUGGGACUGAGACACGGCCCAA
rnacentral:rRNA from 1 species